GCCGCAGUUCCCGGCCCGCCCCCUUCGCCAGGGACAGCUGAGCACCGGAGCCAACGCGGCGGGGGCCUUCAGCACGGCAUGGACAAGGAGAGGCUGAAGCGCUUGUUCAGCUCGAAAAAAGAGCUGCGAGGGAAUCUGCUGGGUUUGGCCACUGGGAGGAGGUUUUAGAGAAAACAGAGCCAAACUCUUGUCAGAACACAAUGAAAGAGAAGCCCUAUGCUGUGGCUCCCAUUUGCGCUAUCACGGAUUCUUUUACUUUACCUCUAUUCCUACUUUUCUAAAUCCAAGUACCAAGCAAACCCAUUUACAGGUAGAAAAAGAAACUGAAAAUGGAAACGAAAAUUUAACUAUUUUAACAUCGUAUUUAUUGAACAAGAAGAUAAAAAUCUCUGAUCCUCAGGGCAUUGAUUAGAUCUGUCGGUAGGAAAUUAUUUUCUUGUUCAUGUGCCAGUGCUUGCUUUCGCAGCCUAUCUGGCAUAAAAGAACUUGGAGCUUUUUCCAGCUGGCUGUUUUUCUCUCUGUAUCUGUCACUUUUCUCUCAGCACCGCACCACCACCUGUAGCACAGACCAGAGGUCUGUAGAAUAAAGUGGAAACACUGGAGAUGGCCUUAUGGGCACAUGGCCAGAAAAGUCUGUGAGACUGAGAAAACACAGCACCAACCAAGUAUGGUGGAGAUGAAAAAAACCUGCAGCAACUACUAGAAAUGAAGAAUUGAGAGAUGGACUGAGUGAAGAGCAUAGCCCAGAAUAUCUUAACUGAGGAGACUGAGGUGGAAAGGUUCUAUAUAGAUGCUCUAAUGUGAAUUAGGGGAUCAUAUCCACUGGAAAGCAUUAAAAGAAAAAGCCCCAAACUACCUAUAACAAAAAAAAUACAGAGCCAUGUGCAGGGAAGAAACCAUUUUCCCAAAUCAAAACAUUCAAAAGCAACAGAAAUAGCAUAAGUAAGGUGCACAGCGACCUAGAGGAAGUACAUAAAUGCUGUUGGUAUGGAAACAUUGAAAAGUAGUGUCUCACUUCCUAGACAGACACCUGAAAAUCCUUUGCAUGAUAAUACUAUUUGGAUUUGGAAUGGUUAUGGAGAUUUCUAUAGUGAGAAUGAGUUGCAGUAUCCUAUAAAUUGUAAUGAUUUUGUGGGCACUGAAUUUCAACUAGGUUAUCACUUUUUGGUCAUCAUUUCUAUCGAUUAAAUUAAAGGGGAAAAAAAGUUGAAAAAUUUGGUAUGAGUAAGUGGACAUGAGAAAAACGCCUUGUGUUUUGUGACUGCUUUUUGUCCAAAUGAAAGGGGCAAAUCCAUGGCAAUCUUUUGUCUCUUCAGCGGGUGGACACUCAACUGGGCUGCUUCAAAAGAACCACACAUGCCCAUGUCAAAGGAUUCCAGUAAGUUCUGAAUCUAAUAUAAGAAUCUAGCUAUGUGGCUUGGUGUGUGGUAUUUUUACUUUUUGAAAAAGUUGGUACACCAUAUACUGAUUUUUUUACAUGCACUAGACUAUACUGUUAGAUCUUUGUGUAUUGUAUUAAAAGAAAAACAAGUGGAAAUAAAUUUUGGUACUGCUAAGGUCAAUAAUAAAAGUCAGGAGAAUUAUCUUUG